CACACGACUCUCGGCAACGGAUAUCUCGGCUCUCGCAUCGAUGAAGAACGUAGCGAAAUGCGAUACCUGGUGUGAAUUGCAGAAUCCCGUGAACCAUCGAGUCUUUGAACGCAAGUUGCGCCCGAGGCCAUCUGGCCGAGGGCACGCCUGCCUGGGCGUCACGC
rnacentral:rRNA from 1 species